rnacentral:rRNA from 2 species
GACGAACGCUGGCGGCGUGCCUAAUACAUGCAAGUCGAACGCACUCUCGUUUAGAUUGAAGGAGCUUGCUCCUGAUUGAUAAACAUUUGAGUGAGUGGCGGACGGGUGAGUAACACGUGGGUAACCUGCCCUAAAGUGGGGGAUAACAUUUGGAAACAGAUGCUAAUACCGCAUAAAACCUAACACCGCAUGGUGUAGGGUUGAAAGAUGGUUUCGGCUAUCACUUUAGGAUGGACCCGCGGUGCAUUAGUUAGUUGGUGAGGUAAAGGCUCACCAAGACCGUGAUGCAUAGCCGACCUGAGAGGGUAAUCGGCCACACUGGGACUGAGACACGGCCCAGACUCCUACGGGAGGCAGCAGUAGGGAAUCUUCCACAAUGGACGAAAGUCUGAUGGAGCAACGCCGCGUGAGUGAAGAAGGUUUUCGGAUCGUAAAACUCUGUUGUUGGAGAAGAAUGUAUCUGAUAGUAACUGAUCAGGUAGUGACGGUAUCCAACCAGAAAGCCACGGCUAACUACGUGCCAGCAGCCGCGGUAAUACGUAGGUGGCAAGCGUUGUCCGGAUUUAUUGGGCGUAAAGCGAGCGCAGGCGGUUUCUUAAGUCUGAUGUGAAAGCCUUCGGCUCAACCGAAGAAGUGCAUCGGAAACUGGGAAACUUGAGUGCAGAAGAGGACAGUGGAACUCCAUGUGUAGCGGUGAAAUGCGUAGAUAUAUGGAAGAACACCAGUGGCGAAGGCGGCUGUCUGGUCUGUAACUGACGCUGAGCUCGAAAGCAUGGGUAGCAAACAGGAU